GGUUAAGAUAUUAAGGGCAAUCGGUGGAUGCCUAGGCGCCAGGAGGCGAAGAAGGACGUGGGAGGCUGCGAAAAGCCUCGGGGAGCCGCCAAACAGGCUUUGAUCCGGGGAUUUCCGAAUGGGGUAACCCACCUGGAGUCAUAUCCAGGUAUCCCGUACUUAGGUGCGGGAGGCGAACCCGGGGAAGUGAAACAUCUCAGUACCCGGAGGAGAAGAAAUCAAAAGAGAUUCCCUGAGUAGCGGCGAGCGAAAGGGGAGUAGCCCAAACCGUGUGGCUUGCCACGCGGGGUUGUGGGGCUGUCCACAAGCGAUCCAUGAGUAAGUAGCAGAAGCACCUGGGAAGGUGCCCCAUAGAGGGUGAAAGGCCCGUAUGCGAAACUGAAAGUGGCGCGGACAGUACCCGAGUACUGCGGGGCACGUGGAACCCUGUGGGAAUCUGGGGGGACCAUCCUCCAAGGCUAAAUACUCCCUGGCGACCGAUAGCGGAUAGUACCGUGAGGGAAAGGUGAAAAGAACCCCGGGAGGGGAGUGAAAUAGAACCUGAAACCGAUUGCCUACAAGCAGUCCGAGCCUGGCGUAAGCUGGGUGAGGGCGUGCCUUUUGCAUAAUGGGCCAGCGAGUUAAUCUGCAGUGCGAGGUUAAGCCUUUAAGAGGUGGAGCCGUAGCGAAAGCGAGUCUGAAGAGGGCGAUAAGUACUGCGGAUUAGACCCGAAGCCGGGUGAUCUAUCCAUGGGCAGGGUGAAGGUAAGGUAACACUUACUGGAGGCCCGAACCGGUGUAGGUUGAAAACUACUCGGAUGACCUGUGGAUAGGGGUGAAAGGCCAAUCAAACUCGGUGAUAGCUGGUUCUCCCCGAAAUAUAUUGAGGUAUAGCCUCAGGCGAUGACUUGCGGAGGUAGAGCACUGGAAGGGCUAGGGGCCCCACCAGGUUACCAAACCCUACCAAACUCCGAAUGCCGUAAGUUUAGCCUGGGAGUCAGACUGUGGGUGAGAAGGUCCAUGGUCGAGAGGGAAACAGCCCAGACCGUCGGCUAAGGUCCCUAAAUGUACACUAAGUGGGAAAGGAGGUGGAGCUACUGAGACAGCCAGGAGGUUGGCUUAGAAGCAGCCAUCCUUUAAAGAAAGCGUAAUAGCUCACUGGUCUAGUGGCUCUGCGCCGAAAAUGUAACGGGGCUCAAGUGUACUACCGAAGCCACGGCUGAGUACCGUAAGGUACUCGGGGUAGGGGAGCGUUCUCUACGGGAAGAAGGUAUACCGUGAGGUGUGCUGGACUGUAGAGAAGUGAAUAUGUUGGCAUGAGUAACGAUAAAGAGAGUGAGAAACUCUCUCGCCGUAAGCCCAAGGUUUCCUGGGUAAAGCUAAUCUGCCCAGGGUUAGUCGGUCCCUAAGGCGAGGCCGAGAGGCGUAGCUGAUGGGAAGCAGGUUAAUAUUCCUGCACCUGUUGGUUAGUCGUUUGAGCGAAGGGGGGACGCAGAAGGGUAGGUCAGCCGACUGUUGGAAUAGUCGGUUCAAGCCUGUAGGCGGGGAGCUUAGGCAAAUCCGGGCUCCUGUUAACGCUGAGGGGUGAGUACGAGUCUAUAACGGACGAAGUGACUGAGCCCAUGCUGCCGAGAAAAGCCUCUAAGCGAGACUAACUGGCAGACCGUACCGCAAACCGACACAGGUGGGCGGGGUGAGUAACCUAAGGCGCUCGAGCGAACUCUGGUUAAGGAACUCGGCAAAAUGACCCUGUAACUUCGGGAGAAGGGGUGCUCUUGGUGGUGAAGGUAGAACUACUGGAGCUGCUGAGAGCCGCAGAGAAAUGGUGGGGGCGACUGUUUACUAAAAACACAGGUCUCUGCGAAGUCGUAAGACGACGUAUAGGGACUGACGCCUGCCCGGUGCCGGAAGGUUAAGGGGAGGAGUUAGGGGUAACCCGAAGCUCUGAACCGAAGCCCCGGUAAACGGCGGCCGUAACUAUAACGGUCCUAAGGUAGCGAAAUUCCUUGUCGGGUAAGUUCCGACCUGCACGAAUGGCGUAACGAUCCCCACACUGUCUCAACCAGAGGCUCGGUGAAAUUGAACUCCCGGUGAAGAUGCCGGGUACCCGCAGCAGGACGGAAAGACCCUGUGCACCUUUACUACAGCUUGACAUUGGGUCUUGGAUUAUCAUGUGUAGGAUAGGUGGGAGACUGAGAAGCCUGGACGCCAGUUCAGGUGGAGUCGUCCUUGAAAUACCACCCUUGGUAAUCUAGGGCUCUAACCCAAGGCAGUAAUCCUGCUUGGGGACAGUGUCUGGUGGGUAGUUUGACUGGGGCGGUCGCCUCCUAAAAGGUAACGGAGGCGCGCAAAGGUUCCCUCAGGCUGAUUGGAAACCAGCCGUUGAGUGCAAAGGCAUAAGGGAGCUUGACUGUGAGAGAGACAUCUCGAGCAGGGACGAAAGUCGGCCUUAGUGAUCCGGUGGUUCCGCAUGGAAGGGCCAUCGCUCAUCGGAUAAAAGGUACGCCGGGGAUAACAGGCUGAUCACGCCCAAGAGUUCACAUCGACGGCGUGGUUUGGCACCUCGAUGUCGGCUCAUCACAUCCUGGGGCUGGAGCAGGUCCCAAGGGUACGGCUGUUCGCCGUUUAAAGUGGUACGCGAGCUGGGUUUAGAACGUCGUGAGACAGUUCGGUCCUCAUCCGCUGUGGGCGUAGGAGACUUGAGGGGGUCUGUCCCUAGUACGAGAGGACCGGGAUGGACGAUCCUCUAGUGGACCUGUUGUCGCGCCAGCGGCACAGCAGGGUAGCUAUGAUCGGACGGGAUAACCGCUGAAGGCAUCUAAGCGGGAAGCCCUCCCCAAGAUAAGGUCUCCCCUCAUCUUCGGAUGACUAAAGGACCCUGGAAGACUACCAGGUAGAUAGGCCGGAAGUGUAAGCGCAGCGAUGCGUUCAGCUAACCGGUACUAAUACUCGGAAGUUAAGCCCU
rfam:Desulfonauticus sp. 38_4375 PW_scaffold_237, whole genome shotgun sequence.